CUCUCCCUUCCCCCUCCCCUGAAACUAAAAGGAAUGUUCAAAGCCUGUUUUUCUGUGACCAGCAGACCUUAUCUAUGCUCCCAAUUCCAAUUCCUUGUAAACACAGUUUGUACAAUCCUGAGAGAUCCUGUCUCCUUUGCCAUGCCGCUGCAAGGUCAUAAAGUAGAUAAAACUUAAGUUGCAAUUCCGGUUUUCCUCAAGAUCUGAGACAUGUUAAUUGUCUUUGUUUCUCGCUCUGGUAACAUCUUCCCGCUGCACAUAUUUCCCGCCUUAAAGAGUUUAAAAGGUGAUCAAAAAAUCUAACACUGGCCACCCGCUCGGGACACCUUCCACGCUGUGGAAGCUUUGUACUGUCAUUCUGCUCAGUAAAGCCUACAGCCUUUUUUCUCUCGGUCGGGUCCACGUCUCUCUCUCUUGCCGCGGGCUGCCGCCACCCCAACCCUUUGGCGUGGCUAAGGCAACAACCUUUGGUGUUACCCUGGUUUGCAAAGAGGAAUGCCCUCUCCAAACAUGCCUAUCGAAUAAGGUCCUGUUCAUGAUGCAAAUCUCUAUGUGAUCUUCCUCCGGAAUUCUUGAGCCCAUUCCUGGAACUGUGUGAUAACUUGCCCAGAAAAUCUUCUUGUGGAAUCUGUCUUUACAUGGAAAAGACUUGGCAAUAUUUGUACAGCAACUGGAAGAAAGGUCUUUGCUGAGAUAUACAAAGAGGCAGAAUGUGUGUGGAUCACCGAUUAGACAAGGCGAAUAGGAGCAGAAUAGAAGAGGAAUGGAAUAGAACUCAAGAGCAACACUCAUUAGAACGGCCAAUAUCCAAAACACUGGCAACACCAAAUGUGGCAAGGAUGCGAAAUAGCAGUAGCUCUCAUUCAUUGCUGGUGGAAAUGCAAAAUGAUACAGACCCUUUGCAAAACGGUUCAGCAACUUCAUAGGAAAAGAGUAUGCUGAGUGUUGUUCUAUCUCAUUGUUGCUUUAAUUUGCAGUACUCUAAAUAUACAUAAUGUUGAACAUCUUUUCAUGUGCUUAAUUGCCAUCUGUGUAUCUUCUUCUGUCAGAUGUCUGUCCAGAUGAUUGGAUUUUUAAUAUAAUAAUUAUGUAUCUUUAAUAUAGAUUAUGUUUACAUUGUUUAAAGUAAGUGAAAUAUAUUUAAAAAAAUGCAGAUCCAAAAGUUUUGGAACCUAUAAAAAAAUCCACAGAAAUCCAUAGAAAGAGUUUUAAAAACACAGAGCUAGAAAACCUCUGUUAUUUCCAAUUUUCAUCUUCUAGGAUUCAAAGACAUUGGAUAGAUAGAGGGAAGCAGGUUUUCUUGACAUGUUUGUAUUAUGGCCAAGUUUGAUAAAAAUAAAUCCAUUCCAAAAAGCAAAAGGAAUGCAAAGCAAUCUAGUUGCAAGGUAUACAGUUAGUCCUCCGAAUAUUCUGACUUUGAAUUUGGUAAGAAUUUCUUCUUAUUAGUAAGAAAAGUAUUCAUAGCUGUAUUCUCAAUCAGCCUUUGCUGCAGUCACUCUUCAGAGUUUUUAUUCUUGUCUUUGUCUGUGGAGCCUGAAAGAAUUACGCCUAUAAAUAAGGUAGAAAGUUCUACUGGUUAGAAGUAGAUAAACAGAUUACAUGCUUAUCUCUGUGGUAUGUCAGCACCCUACAAAUUGGGGAAUUGAAUAGAUCCAUGUUCAAACAAGAAGUUUGCUCUACAUUUCUACUCUAUUCUGUUCUCAGAAAUUAAAUUGUAAUAGACAUUUAAAAAGUAGUGGUUGUACAGAUCAGUAUUUUACUGAUUCUUAGAGAGUAGAUUUUAAUCAAAUAUGCCUUUCUUUGAUUUUAAAAAGGAGAGAGCAAAAGCCCA
rnacentral:lncRNA from 1 species